GGUACUGUAUAACCUGCGCAUGCAAUUCGGUGUUCACUAAAUCAAGAGACAACUUUGUAUGUGUUAGAGUUAACAAUGAGGCACCAAAGCAAACGAAAAGCACUUCUUUGUUAAUUGAUAGAACGAACAAAAUAAAAUCUCAUUAGGGGAGGGAUGUUCUGUAAAGGGAAGAUAUAAAAUAUGAUAUAUAGACCUCGAUCUAGAGAAUGUACGGUCUAAAAAUGUAUAGGCUAGAGGCUCAAACCCUCCUCCUAGUCACAAAAAAAAGAACUAAUAGAAUUUGAAAAGCAAAUUCACCCAAAGAUGGAACUUGUUCGUAUAAACUGAUAACCGUCGACUAAGCUGAUAAACCUCCAAAAACCGAAGUAACCUAA